rnacentral:rRNA from 1 species
AGUGAACGCUGGCGGUAGGCCUAACACAUGCAAGUCGAACGGCAGCACAGUAAGAGCUUGCUCUUACGGGUGGCGAGUGGCGGACGGGUGAGGAAUACAUCGGAAUCUACUUUUUCGUGGGGGAUAACGUAGGGAAACUUACGCUAAUACCGCAUACGACCUACGGGUGAAAGCAGGGGAUCUUCGGACCUUGCGCGAUUGAAUGAGCCGAUGUCGGAUUAGCUAGUUGGCGGGGUAAAGGCCCACCAAGGCGACGAUCCGUAGCUGGUCUGAGAGGAUGAUCAGCCACACUGGAGCUGAGACACGGUCCAGGCUCCUACGGGAGGCAGCAGUGGGGAAUAUUGGACAAUGGGCGCAAGCCUGAUCCAGCCAUAGCGCGUGGGUGAAGAAGGCCUUCGGGUUGUAAAGCCCUUUUGUUGGGAAAGAAAAGCAGCAGGUUAAUACCCCGCUGUUCUGACGGUACCCAAAGAAUAAGCACCGGCUAACUUCGUG